rnacentral:rRNA from 1 species
UACGUAGGGGGCAAGCGUUGUCCGGAUUUAUUGGGCGUAAAGAGCUCGUAGGUGGUUUGGUAAGUCGGAUGUGAAAUCUCCAGGCUCAACCUGGAGGGGUCAUUCGAUACUGCCAUGACUAGAGGUCGGUAGGGGAGUGUGGAAUUCCUGGUGGAGCGGUGAAAUGCGCAGAUAUCUGGAAGAACACCAAAGGCGAAGGCAGCAUCCUGGGAAGGCACUGACGCUAAUGUGCGAAAGCCAGGGGAGCGAACGGG